UUGUUUUGGUGUUUUCAUUUUGGUUUUGGGCCAAUAUCAUGUUUGGAGUGGGCUGAUAUGGUAUUUAACAGUGCCAAAACAUUAUCAUUUUUGGGCCAAAACCCAUAUCAACAUUUUGGUGAUAUUUAGACUGAUAUGGCACUGUAGCGGUGAAUUGAUCUCAAACCAAAACCAAACCAACCCUCGUUUUUAUUGUAGCGGUGAUAUCAUGUAUAUAAGGUCGCAUAUCAGAUUUUAGGUCAUUUUUCAGCAUCGUUUCUCUCUCUUCGCGUAGCUCCCUUAAAGGCGACUUCAGUGGCGAUCCAACCUUUUCCACCACCGAUCUGGCAGAGCUCCUCCACCAGAUCUCAAGUUUCUCCACCACCGAUCUGGCAGAGCUCCUCCACCAGAUCACAAGUUUCAUGAGGCUGUGACGGAGAUCUAGGGUUUGAUUUUAGCCCUGUUUCUGGGUUGUUUCUUCUAUCAACCAUGGUUCUGAUAUAAGGGUUUAUAUGUCAUCCAUCGAUUGUGUGUGUUGCAAUGUGGAAGCAAUUAGAAUGUUGACUGAGUUAAUUAUAACUAUCGAUUUUAGCGAUAUUUUCAAGAUCUGUUCUUGGUCCAAAUUACAAUUUUGCAAAGGAUCUGUAUUAUGUAUAAAUCAACCUAACAGGCUCUUAUAUCAUAUCAGGCUUGAUCGUACAUUAAAAAGCAAAAUUAAAAUUGAUAUUUGUAAAUUAUUAAAUUGUUUGAAUGAUCAAUUUGUUGUAUUAUAUUAUUUAAGGACAAAUGGGAGGACAAAAGAUUCGACAAAAGGAUAAAAUUUAAACAUUCAUCAACUUUUAAAUUCUCAAACUUAGGAUGAUG